GCCCGUGGAUGAAGAACACCAAAUAGCCAUGUGGGGUCCCCAGAGGGUUAGCCCCUUCAUCAUCAUUCUUGGCCUCUGCUCGAUUCAUCUAAGGAUGAGGAGCACCAAGUGGCCGUGUAAAGGGAUGAGGCUUGAUCUGAUUUUUUCGAGCCUAUGUUUUGGAUGUUUUCUUGAUAUGUCCUCGGUUAAUUCUAAUAAUUUCAUUUUUGGUCAG
rnacentral:lncRNA from 1 species